rnacentral:lncRNA from 1 species
UAUAGUUACUUACUUACCUUAUUAUUCUUAUUAUUAUUAUUAUUUUACUAAAACUUAGGCUUAGUUUGGUAUUAAGACCUAUCAAACGCUAUGGAGUUGAGAAAAAAAUAUAUAAAGAUAUGCUUCUGCGUUCUCCGAUGGGACCGCAGAAAAUAUAUCGUAACCGACUCAUUGCGAUAUGCGGAACGCAAUAUGAUAUACGAAAAUAAACAGAAUAUUUUUCCUACGUAAUCUCCCCGGCAAUCCCAAACAAAGUCUUAGAAUGAUUGUUGUAUUAAUUUUUGGAUCCUUACCGUUAACUUCGCACACCUAUAUAAAGUCAUAUUUAGUUUGUUUUUAAAAAAAUUAAAUUUAAUCAAAAAUGUGAAAUAAAUAAAUUUCAAAUUUGAGACCUCGAAAAUCAACCACGAAGCUCUUUG